ACACUGAGCGGAGGGUAGCCGAGCUGGUGCUAUCGUUCCCUUGCUCUGGUUACAGUCUCUUCUUCCUUCCCCUCACAUGUGAGCAGAGAGCAAACCAAACUGCCCCCAAGAAGGGUCUUCACAGGAACAAAACUUUGGAGUUGGCUCACAGGAGAUGCAUUUAAAGAAGGAUCCCAGGGCUGCCCACUCUCCAGAAAGUUCCACCCACCCUGGCCAUCAGAAGGAGACAGAGAAGCAUUCUUCACUGGGGCCCAGAGCUGACUGUAACUGACCGGAAACACCCACGUCUAUGCAUCGGCUCCACCCACCAAAUGAAAGAACAAAAUUGUGCUUGCUUUUGUUCUCACCGCCCCCACGGAAUUCACAAAUGUGUGUGUGUGUGUGUGUGUGUGUGUGUGUGAAUAUGCUUGAGCCAUCACAAAAUUAGAGAUUUUUUUUUAAAGCAUUGACUUAGGGCCUACUUAUAAACCAGGUAUCAAAGA
rnacentral:lncRNA from 1 species